rnacentral:rRNA from 1 species
ACUCCUACGGGAGGCAGCAGUGGGGAAUAUUGCACAAUGGGCGCAAGCCUGAUGCAGCCAUGCCGCGUGUAUGAAGAAGGCCUUCGGGUUGUAAAGUACUUUCAGCGGGGAGGAAGGCGAUAAGGUUAAUAACCUUGUCGAUUGACGUUACCCGCAGAAGAAGCACCGGCUAACUCCGUGCCAGCAGCCGCGGUAAUACGGAGGGUGCAAGCGUUAAUCGGAAUUACUGGGCGUAAAGCGCACGCAGGCGGUCUGUCAAGUCGGAUGUGAAAUCCCCGGGCUCAACCUGGGAACUGCAUUCGAAACUGGCAGGCUAGAGUCUUGUAGAGGGGGGUAGAAUUCCAGGUGUAGCGGUGAAAUGCGUAGAGAUCUGGAGGAAUACCGGUGGCGAAGGCGGCCCCCUGGACAAAGACUGACGCUCAGGUGCGAAAGCGUGGGGAGCAAACAGGAUUAGAAACCCGUGUAGUCCCA